rnacentral:rRNA from 1 species
UACGGGGGGGGCAAGCGUUGUUCGGAAUUACUGGGCGUAAAGGGCUCGUAGGUGGCCAACUAAGUCAGACGUGAAAUCCCUCGGCUUAACCGGGGAACUGCAUCUGAUACUGGAUGGCUUGAGAUUGGGAGAGGGAUGCGGAAUUCCAGGUGUAGCGGUGAAAUGCGUAGAUAUCAAGAGGAACACCUGAGGUGAAGACGGGUUGCUGGGCUGACACUGACGCUGAGGCGCGAAAGCUAGGGUAGCAAACGGG